ensembl:snRNA U2 U2 spliceosomal RNA
AUCGCUUCUCGGCCUUUUGGCUAAGAUCAAGUGUAAUACAACAGACGUGAGUUAAACAAAAAGAAAUACGAAGGAAUUUAAAAUUUUUGAAAAUAAUUUGAAAUUUGCUCUUUUGUUUUUUCUGCUGGGUUACUUGUAUUUCAAAGUACCUGCACUCUUU